rnacentral:rRNA from 1 species
UACGGAGGGUGCAAGCGUUAUCCGGAUUCACUGGGUUUAAAGGGUGCGUAGGUGGCGCCGUAAGUGGGGUGUGAAAUUUCGGAGCUUAACUCCGAAACUGCAUUCCAUACUGCGGUGCUUGAGGACUGGAGAGGAGACUGGAAUUUACGGUGUAGCAGUGAAAUGCGUAGAGAUCGUAAGGAAGACCAGUGGCGAAGGCGGGUGUCUGGACAGUUCCUGACACUGAGGCACGAAGGCCAGGGGAGCAAACGGG